rnacentral:rRNA from 1 species
UCGACGGCAGCACGGGGGGUAACCCCUGGUGGCGAGUGGCGAACGGGUGAGUAAUAUAUCGGAACGUGUCCUGUAGCGGGGGAUAACCUAUCGAAAGAUGGACUAAUACCGCAUACGACCUAUGGGUGAAAGCGGAGGACCGCAAGGCUUCGCACUAUAGGAGCGGCCGAUAUCGGAUUAGCUAGUUGGUGGGGUAACGGCCUACCAAGGCGACGAUCCGUAGCUGGUCUGAGAGGACGAUCAGCCACACUGGAACUGAGACACGGUCCAGACUCCUACGGGAGGCAGCAGUGGGGAAUUUUGGACAAUGGGCGCAAGCCUGAUCCAGCCAUGCCGCGUGAGUGAAGAAGGCCUUCGGGUUGUAAAGCUCUUUCGGCGGGGACGAAACGGUUCGUGCUAAUACCACGGACUACUGACGGUACCCGCAGAAGAAGCACCGGCUAACUACGUGCCAGCAGCCGCGGUAAUACGUAGGGUGCAGGCGUUAAUCGGAAUUACUGGGCGUAAAGCGUGCGCAGGCGGUUUGUUAAGACAGGUGUGAAAUCCCCGGGCUUAACCUGGGAAUUGCGCUUGUAACUGGCAGACUGGAGUGUGGCAGAGGGGGGUGGAAUUCCGCGUGUAGCAGUGAAAUGCGUAGAUAUGCGGAGGAACACCGAUGGCGAAGGCAAUCCCCUGGGCCUGCACUGACGCUCAUGCACGAAAGCGUGGGGAGCAAACAGGAUUAGAUACCCUGGUAGUCCACGCCCUAAACGAUGUCAACUGGUUGUUGGGAAUUUACUUUCUCAGUAACGAAGCUAACGCGUGAAGUUG